rnacentral:rRNA from 1 species
AUUGAACGCUGGCGGCAGGCCUAACACAUGCAAGUCGAGCGGUAGAGAGAAGCUUGCUUCUCUUGAGAGCGGCGGACGGGUGAGUAAUGCCUAGGAAUCUGCCUGGUAGUGGGGGAUAACGUUCGGAAACGGACGCUAAUACCGCAUACGUCCUACGGGAGAAAGCAGGGGACCUUCGGGCCUUGCGCUAUCAGAUGAGCCUAGGUCGGAUUAGCUAGUUGGUGAGGUAAUGGCUCACCAAGGCGACGAUCCGUAACUGGUCUGAGAGGAUGAUCAGUCACACUGGAACUGAGACACGGUCCAGACUCCUACGGGAGGCAGCAGUGGGGAAUAUUGGACAAUGGGCGAAAGCCUGAUCCAGCCAUGCCGCGUGUGUGAAGAAGGUCUUCGGAUUGUAAAGCACUUUAAGUUGGGAGGAAGGGCAGUUACCUAAUACGUGAUUGUUUUGACAUUACCGACAGAAUAAAGCACCGGCUAACUCUGUGCCAGCAGCCG